CCCGAUUCACUAGGGCAAAUCAUUUCAGCCUCCCCCAAUCGCCUCCAUCUCUAUUCUCGUUCUCAACUCUGAACUGCAACCCCCACCCCCUGGCGCCCCUACUCUCUCUCUCUCUGCAACUGCAAACUACAAAAUCUACAAGAAUCAGAAGUUCAAAACCCAUAUAUUUCACUUUAUCUAUCUGUCUGUAAGAAUCAAAAGUUCAAAACCUAUUACCUAUUUCAAAACCCAUAUCGGCGUAUCAUUUCAGAUUGUUCAAAAAAUCAAAACCCAUAUCUUUCAGUUUCCAUCGCCCGCUGUUCCAGUUUGGGUUCGCCGUUCGCAAGCUUCAGCAGCUGCCUCUCAACUCUCAAGCUUGCCCCCUCCCUCUCUGCAACUGCUAACUUGGUUAGCAUCGGCCUUAACAUUUAGCAAGAAUAAGGUUCAAAAAACAUGCCUCCUCAGUCAUCAGGUCUCUUUUUUGAAAGAAGAGAGUUGAUGGGAAUGGGUGGAGUUGGCAAAAAGAAAAUACGUAUGUUUUUUUGCCUAGCUAAUUGAAUUAUAUAAAUCCCCUUACUGUAGCAGUGAUGUUGGUUUUAAAAUGACCAAUUAUGAUAGGAAGUCUCUUUUCAAUUUAUCUUAAUCAAAUGUAUAUUUAUGCAAAAGGAUUACAUGAUUCUAGAUGAUGAUUCUAGAUGAGAAUGUUAAUGUCAACGUUAUGAGGAUGUUGAUGUCAACGUUGGCUCUAGUGAUGACAACUGAUGAUGUUGAUAAUAUGUUGAUGCACUCAAAUUAAGUCACAACACUUAGAAUUGAAGGAAAUUUAGAGUUGCAGUCAUACUAUUGAGCAUAGUGUCUAAUUCUUUUAGUUACAAGAAUCUUUGGUCACUUCAUGCGAUUUUUCAGUUCUUGAAAUUCUGAAACAAUGGUGUGUAAUAUAAUUCAUUUACUUAGGCUCUCUUCUUUUUCAUCUCUUUAAACCCUAAUUUUAUCUGUGAAAAAGAAAAAAAAAAAAAAAAAAAAAAGACUACAAUUUUAAUUUAACUUUAUCAUUUUGCCUUGACAGAGCUUCUGAAAUGUUGAAGCUGAAAUAACAAAGAAGAGAGAGUCCACCAAUAAGAAUUACCCAACUUAGGCCAAAAUAAGCUCUUUGAGCGUCUUGACUAAUAUUGGCAUGGGAGACUUCUAUAGAUAUGGACUUGUAGAGGGAGAGAUAUAUGGUUGGGGGCACAAAAGUGUAUGACAACUGUGAACCAACGAUAGGGUUGUGAGCUUUUGGCUUGUUUCAUACAUUGGAUCUAGUACAACAAUGAAAUGGAAAGCUCUGCUGCACUUAAAGUUACAAACAAAAACAAUAAUUAAUAUUAUAUUUUAUAACUUUACUAAUCUAAUAUGAUACUACGUAUAUCUUACAUAUAUACAUACAUAUAUAUAUGUGUGUGUUUGUAACUUUAUACUUAGACUUGGAUAUAUUUUGAUUUAGCCCACCCCAUUGAGAAAUCCGGGAUCCGCCCUUGAAGUUCACUCAAAUGACCUUGUAAAAUUAUAAUUAUACAGCAAUAAGAAAAAUAUACUAGUGCCGUUUUAAGGUGUUAGCUGAAGACAAAUAUGAAAACCCACAUGAUAUCUAACAUCCGUCAUGUGUCAGUCAUUCCCUUGAGCAGCAAUCUCGGAUGUAAAACUAGUAAGUUGGAGGAGGUGGGCAGCCCACGUGGUGAUGGAGGCAAUGAUGAAAGCGGUGGUGGCGGUCGUCGUGGUGGACAUAAGGAUGUCGAGGGUGAGUAGGGGUGAUGAUCAACGGGAUGGUGAAUCGAUGAUUGAGGUCAUCACACAUGAAGUUAUGCCUAUGAUCCCGAAGAAAAGUAUUUGUGUAGAUGAAAAUGGUGGCAACGAGGAAGUAUUAAUUGAAUUUGAUGAAUUUUUUCCUGUCGAAAUUAUCCCGGUAAAGAAUUUUUUUCGAUGUCGACCAUGAGUGUAGGCAAGUGAAAGUGAUUCUUCUUCCACAGAGAUCAACUGUAAGCUCAUUAUCUCUGAAUUACCUUCAUUUGAUUAGUAAAAAAAAAAAAGAUGUUUGUUAUUGGAAUUGUCUCAUGCGCUGAAGGUGGGGGGUUCGGCUUCUAGGAGAAAGAAGAAGAAAUAGCAAGCCUAUAUAUGAUGUGUCAGUUGACCAAUAUCUGGUGGAGGUUGCGGAUUGUUGAAAUAGGUAUGUAUAUUUUAUAUUUUUAUAGAUUGCAUUGAAUACUUUUGAUACCUGUCAUCAUAAGUUUUAGAUGUAUUAUUUCAAAUGUGUGGCUUGAUUUCCAAAAGCAUAUUUUUUCCAUUCAAGCAUGUCAUAGGCAGAUAAGCCUACACCCCUGAGCUCUUGAGCAAGAUGCCUCUCACCUGUCUCGGGCAUUGGGUCUUCCCAUGGUCGAGAGGGGCUGAACUGGAGGUGGCAAGUGUGACCUUAAUUAUACAGGUUAGUUGUUUGAUUCACAUGUUAGGAAUGCAAUGAAGGUAAGGGAUGAUAUGGUAUCGAGGGUGUUCAAGCCUAAUUCAGUUUCUUUUAAUUCACUUAUUCAAGGUUUCUACAAGGCUAAUAAGAUGGAUCAAGCCCAGCAUCUUUUGGAAGAGAUGCUAUCGAUGGAGUUAAUAUAGUUUUCUAGAUAAUAGAGUCUGUCGCAUUGUCAAUAGAUGCAAUGGUUUCAUCAAGCACUAUUAUUUUCAAGUCUGAAAUGUUAAAUCAUUACUUGACUGAACAGGAAGUUCAGCUUAGGCGUAGUCUUAUGCCAGUUUGUUAAAUCAAGUCUGAAAUGUGUAAUAAGGAUGUCAGAAAUCCUUGAAUUCCUUAUCGGAGCUUUCUCUCGCUCUCAGACUCUACUUUCUAAUCGUACCAACCGUUUUGAGGCUAGCAGGAAGCCAUUUCCCUCGAGGACACCUCAUCAAGAUCAUGUGAAAUGAAAGAAUUCUUGCUCCCAAAUAAAUGUUAAUUUUUCUCUCUCUCUCUCUCUCUCUCUUAUAUGCUCCCUCUUACACAUUCUCUCUCCCCUUCCCCAUCUCACAAAUGGAUUAAAUCUAUUUUGCUGAUUUUUUAUUUGACAUUGAUUAGUUCAGAUGGAGUUUUCACUUACUUUGCAAAUCGUAGCUUCUAUCCCUCUCUCUUGUUUUCCUUCUCUUCUAUUUUCUCUUUAGCUUUCUUUUUCCCACUACAGACCCCCUUUCUUUAUACAGCCUAUUCUUUUUUCUUUUUCUUUUUUUCCUUUUCUGUUCUAAACAGAGCUCAAAUCCUUUUAUCAAGAAAACCCUAAUGCUCCCAACUUCUCCCUUUUUCUGAUUUUAUUCCCUCGCCCUCUCUCUCCCCCUUUCCUUCUCUUUUCUCCUCAAAGCACGCACUUAUCUUCUCUCUCUCUCUCUCUUUUUUUUUUUUCCUUAUAUGUUCCCACUAACAGAUUAUCUCUCCCUUCCCCCAUCUCACAAAUGGAUUAAAUCUAUUUUGCUGAUUUUGUUUAACUUUUGCAUUUUGACUUGCUGUAUUUGUUGUUGCAUUUGGUCCCUUAAAUAGAUUAUGAAUUUAUUUUUUUGGUCAAUGUCAUUGGCAUGCAUUUGGAAUAUUUAUUGUUGUAGUUUGUUAAUGACAUGUAAACUUUUUGUUUCACAUUCAAA